CCCAAUGUGAACGUUACCAAACUGUUGCCUCGGCGGGAUCUCUGCCCCGGGUGCGUCGCAGCCCCGGACCAAGGCGCCCGCCGGAGGACCAACCAAAACUCUUAUUGUAUACCCCCUCGCGGGUUUUUUUUAUAAUCUGAGCCUUCUCGGCGCCUCUCGUAGGCGUUUCGAAAAUGAAUCAAAACUUUCAACAACGGAUCUCUUGGUUCUGGCAUCGAUGAAGAACGCAGCGAAAUGCGAUAAGUAAUGUGAAUUGCAGAAUUCAGUGAAUCAUCGAAUCUUUGAACGCACAUUGCGCCCGCCAGUAUUCUGGCGGGCAUGCCUGUCCGAGCGUCAUUUCAACCCUCGAACCCCUCCGGGGGGUCGGCGUUGGGGAUCGGCCCUGCCUUGGCGGUGGCCGUCUCCGAAAUACAGUGGCGGUCUCGCCGCAGCCUCUCCUGCGCAGUAGUUUGCACACUCGCAUCGGGAGCGCGGCGCGUCCACAGCCGUUAAACACCCAACUUCUGAAAUGUUGACCUCGGAUCAGGUAGGAAUACCCGCUGAACUUAAGCAUAUCAAUAA
rnacentral:rRNA from 1 species